CCCCAGUGGGUGUGCCCCCAGCAGUGCAGCCAGUCCCUCCCUGUCAGCGAGGGGCUGCUGUGGGAGCACAGCCCUGCCUGGGUCCUGGCCAGGCGCCUGCUCCCAGUGCACAGGGAGGUGUGGAACCCUGCCAGCUUCUCACUGCCCUGAGUCAUGGCUGGGCACUGGCCUCGGGCUGCCAGCUCUGCUUUGGUCUGGGGCAGCCCCAAGCAGAGAAUCGCUUUAAGGGCAACAGGACCCUUUAGAACAUCAACAACAUGACUGAAAUAUGAAAUCCUGAUGACCAGACUCAUAUCAAUCCUAAUGCUGCUAACAGUUUUGUGGAAGAGAUCUUCAGGGAGGACAUGGAAAACAGAACUCUGAGUGAGUAUAAAACUGGAGUUGUGUAUUAAUAUUUAAGGCCAUCUUGUUUUGUUCCAUUUGUUGGAGAUUUUUUAAUAAAAUGAUUAUACUGGCUAACUUGCCA
rnacentral:lncRNA from 1 species